GCGGCGAGGCGCGGCGAGACGAGACGGGCCGAGCCGCCGCCGCCCCCCGCCCCGAGCCGUGACUAACCAUAGCGCGGGGAGCGCGGCCGCCCGCGCCCCGCGCCUUCACUGCAAAAAAAUAAUAAAAAAAAAUCCCCCCAAAGUCUCCGCUUUCUGUUGAAAUUUCACCCCUCACUGCCUUUCUCCCUGCAGUUUCACAGCGAUGCGGGGAGCCGGAGCUGGCACCCCGUCCACCUUUCACCGCACAUCGCAGGGACUGCACUUUUAUUUUUCCCCUCUCGUGGAACAGCGAGCAGAAGUGUUCAUCAAGAUUGCUAUGAUUACAUCCCGCUCCCUCUUCCAGCUCAGUGGUGUCGGCUGCAUCGGUUGAAAUCCUUUGAGGUGCGUGAUAUCAUCCGCUGUGUUUUACAGCGAGCACUGCCACCAAAUUUCGUUUCUCAUCGUAGCUUCCACCAAUUUGGCUCAAGCUUCUCUGAAGCGCUUUAAAGUCCUCUUUGGACCAGUUUCAACCUAAAUAACAUGUAAAUAAUUAAUCAUUUAAAUAAAUAGCAUGCUCUCUGCA
rnacentral:lncRNA from 1 species